GUGCUCACUUGGGCAGCACGCAUCCUAAAAGUAGGAAAACAUGGAGAAUAUUAGCAUAUGUCCUGUGCAAGGAAGAUUUUUGUAAAGUGUUCCAUAUUUAA
rnacentral:snRNA from 1 species